GUGUUGCUUGUGGGUGCGUGUGUGGUGUGUGCAUGUGUGUGCGCGCGCGUGUGUGCGGGGUGUGCCGUGAGCGUGUGCCCGCGGUUCGGGGGAUGAGUAGGGGCGCUGACUUUUAGGACCAGCCAUUUGAGUCAAGCUGGAGACGACGUCUUAGAACCUAGGAUGAGUCUCGUUUGGUUUUAGUCUGCAAAGCUCGUCUGCAUCAGACAGGAAUUUUCCCCAGACGCGGGUGCACGUGAAUUAAUUCAUCAGAAGGCGGUUCACGGCCUGAGUGAGGGGGACGAGGGCGGCGAAUUCCUCCGCCUCAUUCCUACCCUGACGAUUCGAGUUCGUUUCUGCUGCGGCGGCAAGAGGCUGGGGAGCCGAUGACUCACCCUGCCGGCUAAUUGCAGCGUUAAAUAACUUUGCGCCGGAUUCGGUGGCUGCAGCAGGGAACGCGCUCCGGGCGCCGGGGGAGGUGGAGGGACGCCCUGAGAACGCACCUCCGUCCCUGUCACCAGCCUUAGCAAGUUCUGGCCUGUGGAGCCGUCAUCCAGAGCGCACAGCUUCAUGCCCUUGAAGGGCGCAGUGUGUCCCGUGGUGCCCGGUGGGCCCGGACAGAGACCCCAGAGGCUCUGUCUGAAGGAAGCUGCACCCACAGACUCCAUCCAGGCAGCGCGGGCGCGGUCCUGUCGCCUACCUUUCUCGGAAGCCAUCUGCCCAUGUGAAUCUAUGUGAAGGCCCUUCAUGCGCUCCUGGACAUCUGCGUGGGAUUUACUUCAACUGCUAUCGCUGCGAGGAGGACGAGCAUGUUUCACUGUAUUUUUAGCAGAGAGUGCAGAUUUUAGAACCUCGCGAACGGUCCUGUAUCUCCUGCACGAUGACUCUCCAGAACAGGAAUAGUGACCCUUCCUUUGCAUUUAUGGUGCAUAGGUUUUCAAAGGACAGUGUGUAAAUCAGCUUGUGUAAUAAUUGUGGCACCCACGCGCGCAAGCAGACUUACCAUGAGCUGACUUCCACUGAUUAUUUCAGUUUCCAGGGAAACGAGGUUUGCAGCCCCCUCCAGUGAGGGCGGAGCGGCCUCUCCAUUCCCAAUGCAGCAAGGCUGCUGCAGCCACGAUGAUUAGGCUUUGGAGGAGGAAGUGAACGGAUGGGGCCUCAUCCUCCUGCCUCCCUAAAGGGUGAGGGUGGAAGGAUGGGGCUGUGCCCUCUUAGGGCAGGGAAAAACAGCUUGGAGGGGUUUCUGCCAUCAGAGAUCCCAUAGGAGGCAGGUCAGUCCUGCAGAAUUUCUCCCCAGUCUGGCCUCCAGCCUCCCUGGCCCCUUUCUAGAGGCCUCCAUCCCACUGGCGGCUUGCUCCUGCCACCGGGCCUCUGCACAG
rnacentral:lncRNA from 1 species